rnacentral:rRNA from 1 species
UACGUAGGUCGCAAGCGUUGUCCGGAAUUAUUGGGCGUAAAGCGCGCGCAGGUGGUUUCUUAAGUCUGAUGUGAAAGCCCACGGCUCAACCGUGGAGGGUCAUUGGAAACUGGGGAACUUGAGUGCAGGAGAGAAGAGUGGAAUUCCACGUGUAGCGGUGAAAUGCGUAGAGAUGUGGAGGAACACCAGUGGCGAAGGCAAUCCCCUGGGCCUG